GGCACAUAUUUGCAGUCAUCACCGUCGUGCCCAUAAAAGCUGUGCUGCUGUGCUGUCUGCUCCGUACUUUACUUUGUGCCGAAGAACAGUGGAUAACGAGGCGGCAGACGUAAUCUCCUUGUACGUGGAAGCACAAAUCCCGGUGUACGGUCAUUACCAUGGUGGUUGCUGAGAAAAAUCCUGACAGCGCUGCUGAGACUGUUGAUGGAAAGUCAAAGAAACAGUUGAAGAAAGAAGCUAAGGAUGCUGAAAAAGCAGCCAAGAAGGAUGCCCACAAGGCAGCAAGGGGUGGUGGAGGUGGUGCCGAAGAGGCUGAGGAUGGUGGUGUUGACACAUCAGCUGGAAAGUAUGGUUCACUUGGAAUGAUUCAGAGCAAUGGAGAUACUCAACUUGCAGCCAGACAGUUUGUUCAUGUGCGUGACCUUGAAAAUGACAAAGCUGAUCAGAUAGUCUGGGUAAGAGGUCGUCUUCACACCAGCAGAGCUAAAGGCAAACAAUGUUUUGUUGUUUUGAGACAGCAAGAAUUCACAGUUCAGGGUCUCCUUGCUGUCAAUGACACCAUUAGCAAACAGUUUGUUAAAUUUGCUUCCAAUGUUACCAAGGAAAGCAUUAUUGAUGUGGAGGCCAAAGUAUCAAAGGUGCCAAAAAAGAUUGAGUCAUGCAGCCAGAAGGAUGUGGAACUACACAUCCAGCAAUUGUGGACUGUGAGCAGUGCGAAGAGUCAGCUGCCACUACUUAUUGAGGAUGCAUCUCGGCCUGUAAAGGAUGAGGAGGAAGGAGAAGGUCUUAACAUUCGUGUGAAUCAAGAUACUCGCCUGGACAACAGAGUUUUAGAUCUGCGUACUCCUGCUAAUCAGGCUAUCUUUAGGAUAGAGGCUGGAGUCUGCCAAUUGUUCCGUGAUAUUCUCACUAAAAAGGGUUUUGUGGAAAUCCACACACCAAAAAUUAUUUCUGCUGCCAGUGAGGGAGGAGCUAAUGUUUUCACUGUGUCAUACUUCAAGAGCUCAGCAUACUUGGCACAGAGUCCCCAACUGUACAAACAGAUGGCUAUUGCUGCUGACUUUGACAAAGUCUUCACUGUGGGUGCUGUUUUCAGAGCUGAAGACAGUAACACCCAUCGUCAUCUUACUGAAUUUGUGGGUCUUGAUCUGGAGAUGGCAUUCAAAUAUCAUUACCAUGAAGUAGUUGAUACCAUUGGAAAUACUUUCACUGAGAUCUUCCGAGGCCUACGUGACAAUUUUGCCGUAGAAAUUGCUACAGUUGGACAGCAAUUUGCAGUUGAACCUUUCCAAUUUUUGGAUCCUCCCCUCAAGCUAGAGUUCCCACAAGCUAUUGCUAUGCUACGUGAGGCUGGUGUUACCGUUGGGGAUGAAGAUGAUCUCAGCACUCCUGAUGAAAAACUCUUGGGUCGUCUUGUGAAAGCUAAGUACAACACUGACUUUUACAUCCUUGAUAAAUAUCCAUUGGCUGUAAGACCCUUCUACACAAUGCCUGACCCCAACAACAAGAAAGCAUCAAAUUCUUAUGACAUGUUUAUGAGGGGUGAAGAAAUUUUAUCUGGUGCCCAGCGUAUACAUGACCCAGAGUUCCUCAUUGAACGUGCUAAACACCAUGCAGUAGAUUUGGAAAAGAUCAAGGCUUACAUCGAUGCAUUCAGAUUUGGUUGUCCUCCUCACGCAGGAGGUGGUAUUGGUAUGGAGCGAGUUGUUAUGCUUUACCUUGGCCUUGACAACAUUAGGAAAACAUCCAUGUUCCCUCGUGACCCCAAACGUAUCACCCCUUAAAAUGAAAUGCUUAAUCUGACUGCUUUGUGCCUUAAUUUAAGACUGACCCAGUACAUUUCACUGAAACCCUUUGAUGCUUAAAUUAUUGCUAUUUUGGACAUCUUUGAGUUAUCUGCAACUCUGGAACUUAAUUCUUUAUGAACUUUUUAGUACAGGAAUGUUCCUAUUAAUCAAACAAUGCAUUUACGAACAACCUAAUUUUUGCCAACCCCUAAAUAUAUCUAAAUAUGUAACAAUAAAUAUGUGUAUCUAUAUUUCAAAUAAAUAGGCGUUUUAACUGUACAAGUCA